GCCUCCAUAGCUCAGUUGGCAGAGCUUCCGACUUUUAAUCGGAAUGUCGCAGGUUCGAUCCCUGCUGGGGGCA
rnacentral:tRNA from 2 species